rnacentral:rRNA from 1 species
AGUGAACGCUGGCGGUAGGCCUAACACAUGCAAGUCGAACGGCAGCACAGUAAGAGCUUGCUCUUACGGGUGGCGAGUGGCGGACGGGUGAGGAAUACAUCGGAAUCUACUUUUUCGUGGGGGAUAACGUAGGGAAACUUACGCUAAUACCGCAUACGACCUACGGGUGAAAGCAGGGGAUCUUCGGACCUUGCGCGAUUGAAUGAGCCGAUGUCGGAUUAGCUAGUUGGCGGGGUAAAGGCCCACCAAGGCGACGAUCCGUAGCUGGUCUGAGAGGAUGAUAGGCGGCACGGGAACGGGAACGCGGACAAGGCGCCUACGGGAGGGAGCAGUGGGGAAUGUUGGGCAAUAGGGGGAAGCCUUGUCCAACCGUAGCGAGUGGGAUGCAGAGGCCUUCGGUUAGUGAAGACGGUUUGUUGGGUGAGAAAAGCAGCAGGUUGAGACCACGCGAUAGUGACGGUACCCAAAGAAUAAGCACCGGCUAACUACGUG